rnacentral:lncRNA from 1 species
GCCACGCGUUGCGAGUGACACCUUCGGGGACUGGAACGAACCAUAGAAUCAAACCAGUAGCGAUCGAAGCGAGAAGAGGCUUAAUGGCAGCUCCUUGCCAUGGAACCGGAGCUGGAACCAAAGGAGGAGUUGGAGAAGAGGAAGCUGAAGCGACGGUGGAAGAGGCUUUAACGAGAGUUGAUGAUCUCCGGCGUAAAGAGACGGGAAGUGGAGAUUUGAGUAAGGAGAAGCGAGAAUCGAGAGAUCGGAGAGGUUUCGUCAAAUUGAGAGAGGAAGAAGGAGGACGAGGGAGAGAGAGAGAUCGAGAUUUGAGAGGGAAAGCGAGAGAGCAGGAGCCGGAGAGAGCGAGAGACGCCAUGGUUGUAGCGUCGUCGGCGAGAGAGAGGUGUGAAGAGGAGAGGGAAGUGAAGAAGGAAAUGAGUAAGAAGAGGAAAGAGAGAGUUGGAUAAAUGUUGACCGUUGGAUUGGAAUCGGACGGUGAGAUUAAGAAAAGGAAUAUACGGACAAGAGUGAGAGAGAGUGAUGAUGAGAUGAGAUCGUGAGGUGAGAAAUAGAGAUCUCCGUCUUUGGUGGGUCAGUCACCUCAUCCUAUUGGCUGAAAUAUUUACGAAAAGCCAUUUUGGGUUUGGGUUUGGUCUUUUUAGAUCGACGAAACAUACAAAGCAAAAUCCUUCAC